UACGUAGGGAGCAAGCGUUGUCCGGAAUUACUGGGCGUAAAGGGCGCGUAGGCGGGAUUUUAAGUCAGGUGUGAAAACUCUAGGCUCAACUUAGAGACUGCACUUGAAACUGAAAUUCUUGAGGACAGGAGAGGAAAGUGGAAUUCCUAGUGUAGCGGUGAAAUGCGUAGAUAUUAGGAGGAACACCAGUGGCGAAGGCGACUUUCUGGACUGUAACUGACGCUGAGGCGCGAAAGCGUGGGGAGUGAACGGG
rnacentral:rRNA from 1 species